AGGAAAGUCAUGAUGCAUUUUUGCGUGGAAAAAUAUAGAAGAAUACAUCACGACUUUCUUGA
rnacentral:pre_miRNA from 1 species